AAAGCUUGCUUUUCUGAAUCUAGUGGCGAACGGGUGAGUAACACGUAGGUAACCUGCCCAUGUGCCCGGGAUAACUUCUGGAAACGGAUGCUAAAACCGGAUAGGUAGCAGACAAGCGUUUGACUGCUAUUAAAGUGGCUAAGGCCAUGAACAUGGAUGGACCUGCGGUGCAUUAGCUAGUUGGUGAGGUAACGGCCCACCAAGGCGACGAUGCAUAGCCGGCCUGAGAGGGCGGACGGCCACAUUGGGACUGAGACACGGCCCAAACUCC
rnacentral:rRNA from 1 species